rnacentral:rRNA from 1 species
UACGUAGGGGGCAAGCGUUGUCCGGAUUUAUUGGGCGUAAGGAGCGUGUAGGCGGCCAGGUAGGUCAGCUGUGAAAACUCGAGGCUCAACCUCGAGACGCCGGUUGAAACCAUCUGGCUAGAGUCCGGAAGAGGAGAGUGGAAUUCCUGGUGUAGCGGUGAAAUGCGCAGAUAUCAGGAAGAACACCCGUGGCUAAGGCGGCUCUCUAGUACGGUACUGACGCUGAGACGCGAAAGCGUGGGGAGCGAACAGG